rnacentral:lncRNA from 1 species
GUAAACAAGAUGACAGAUUAUUCUUCAGAGAAACAUUGGUGCAGUGGAAGAGUUUGGAUGAGAACAAGGUGCUACAAAUCAAUCAGGGAUUUGUUCUGUCGGCCUGUCAGGCACAUUUGGAUUUACUAUUUCACUUGAACAGUUGGUGUUUACUGGCAGCAACAAGAACAAAAUUUAUAGCAGCAAAUGGAAGCUGAACUCGCAUGCUGGCUUUGCACUGAAGAACUUUGUGUCUGCCAUUUCCUAAUUGUGAAAACAGUAUGUCCAAGAUUUUGCAGUCAUCAGCAUUCUGAUGUAACGACUUCCAUCUGGUCAAAGGAAGGAAUUCAGAACCGCUAUCUCCUUUUGAAUUCUACUCCAAUGCAAAGGCAUAUCUAGAGCUCUUCAAAUAAGCAAUGUGAUGUUAGAAAAAGUGCAGAAGCUCCUUCAGCACUUUCCAGGGCUAACCAGCUGCUGAGGAGGGACCUCUAGGAAGGAGAGAAGCACUCUGAUCCAGACAGGGAUUUACACCUAAAGUUCCAACUCCACCAUGUCUUCAGAACAGUUCUUCUGGACCUUGCAUCCAAUUGUGGUAACUAUGAAAUAUUUUAUAGCUCACUUAGUCUCCAGUAUUGUUUUUCAUUAACAAUAUAUUUUUUUAGAGAGAUGAGGUUUAGCCAUGUUGCCCAGGUUGAUCUCAAACUGCUGGCCUCAAGCAGUCCUCCCACCUCAGUCCCCCAAAGUGCUAGAAUUACAGGUGUGAACCACUCCACUCCAAGAUGUAUUUUUAACCAUAAUUGGGGCAAGCAACAUGUUUAAUGGAAAAAAUAGAUAAUUUUUGAAUUUUGUGAUUUGGAAGCUUAUUGCUAACAGUGCUAAAGAAAAGUUAAAAACACUCCAAAGUGUGUCUUUAAGACUGUGAUAUACAUUGAUUGAAGUGAGAAGAUAACCAGUUAACUAAGGUUUCUUUUGUCCUUAUUUCACUCUUGUAUUUGUUAUCCACUGCUGCAUAACAAAUUGCCCCCAAAGUCAGCAGUGCAAAAAAACAUUUAUUAUGUUAGCUUCACAGUAUUCACAGUUUCUGUAGUCAGGAAUCCCAGUAUUUUUCAGCUGGGUGUCUCCGGCUCAGCAGCUUUCAUGAAGCUGCAGUUAAGUAGUCACCUAGGGCUGGGGCUGUGGUCUCCACUGAAGACUCCACAGGGGAAGCCAGCUCUAAGCCCACUUACCUAAUGGUCAGGCCUCAUGGGCAGUUAGACAGUGGGCUCUAUUUCCCACUGGCUGUUGGCUGAAGGCCUCCUUCGGUUUCUUGUCACAUGAACGUCUCCACAGGGCUGACUGUAAACACAACUGGCUUUCUCCAGAGUGAGGGAUGAGAGACAAGGAGAAAGAGGAUACUCAAGAAAGAAGCCAUAGUCUUUUUAUGACUUAAUCUCAGGAGUGACACUGCUUUACUUCUAUUGUUUUCUAUUCUUUGGGAGUGAGUCACUCUGUCCAGCCCACAUUCAAGGUGAGAAGGUUGCAGAAGGAGGCAAGGAUAACUGGAGCCCAUCGUAGACUUACCACAGCCCCCAUUUCCAAAUAUUUUAAUGUGUAAUCCAUGAUAGAGAAUGUCUUGAACUAGUCUCACUGAGAUUCAUCAAUCAUUAGCUACCAGAAGAAAAUCUGAAUUCCUUUGGAAAUGCAUUGUUUCAAACUAGUUCAUCCAGUUUGCAAACACUUGCCCUUAGACAAGGGUUGAUUUAUUCCUCAUCUUUCUAACCCCUCUUUUUCCACUCCCCCCAUAUGCAUAUUUUCCAUUUUAAGCCCAGUCUAUCAGCUUCAUUUAGUUAUCUGGAAGUAACAAAGAAACAAACACAAAAAUAUCUGACAGGCUUUGCCCCAACUAGCUGAAUGGCUUCAGUAAAAUCACUUAACUGUUACGGGUCUUGGUUCCUUCAUCUACUGAAAGAAUGGCUUGAUCCCAAUGACCUCUUAGGCCUCCCACAGCUUUAAAACUCUAUGAGAUUUUGAUUCUGUGUGUGCAAACUAGGGAUGAAAUUAAAUGUGUGGCAAAAAUAAAGACUUGAGAGGUCUAUAGUGAAAGUUAAAUGAAUGAGGCUUGGGAAUUUUAUGAAGCACUUUGUACACUCUAAAGUGCUAUGCACAUGUAAGGAUUUGUUCUUAUUUAGCUCUUAUCAUGAAGAGGUCAGGGCAGAAGGGCGCAGUAGAGACAGUAGUCUUCUUAUUUAGCUAGCCAGGUGUCCCCCAGUGUCACUCUGUUAGGUCCAUACUUUCCAAGUGGAAAAACACCAGGAAGGGAGUCAGCAGGGGAAGUGACCUGUGAGGGAAAUGUUGAACAUAUUUUAGAUUCUCAGUGUGCUGGGUACUCAGGGGGCUUCUGUGACUUCUCUGAGUUACCCUGGAUCUCCACACACACUCUUUGGCCACCCCUCCAUAGCAAGAACUUCUCUCCUGGUGCCCGGUCCUGCAAAUUCUGUCUUCCCUCUACCAGCCACCUUCCAUCCUUUGGCCCCUUCCUUCUGAGAUCCCACUAUUCCUGGAUAGUGACCCCCCCCCCCAUGUAGCUCAUCAAUCAGUGCCAGCUCCAGCUGGUUCCAUAGCACAUUGCUAAAUAUGAGGCCUUUUACAUAUCCUUGAGUAUACACUUUAUGCAC